rnacentral:rRNA from 1 species
AUUGAACGCUGGCGGAAUGCUUUACACAUGCAAGUCGAACGGCAGCACGGGGGCAACCCUGGUGGCGAGUGGCGAACGGGUGAGUAAUACAUCGGAACGUGCCCAAUCGUGGGGGAUAACGUAGCGAAAGCUACGCUAAUACCGCAUACGAUCUACGGAUGAAAGCGGGGGAUCGCAAGACCUCGCGCGAAUGGAGCGGCCGAUGGCAGAUUAGGUAGUUGGUGGGGUAAAGGCUCACCAAGCCAACGAUCUGUAGCUGGUCUGAGAGGACGACCAGCCACACUGGGACUGAGACACGGCCCAGACUCCUACGGGAGGCAGCAGUGGGGAAUUUUGGACAAUGGGCGAAAGCCUGAUCCAGCCAUUCCGCGUGCAGGAUGAAGGCCUCGGGUUGUAAACUAGCUUUUGGUACGGUAACGAAAAACCAACUUACUAAUACAAGUAGGUC